UUAAGUUCAGCGGGUAGUCCUACCUGAUUUGAGGUCUAGCAUAAAGUAGUUGCCCGAGGGCGGGUUGUGAGCGGACGACAGGGGCCGGACAAGACGAAACUUAUUACGUCAAGCCGUGGGCCGAUGUCCCCACUAAGGUCUUUGAGGCGAGCCGUGUGACCGGCAGACGCCCAACUCCAAGUCCACCGCCAGGUCAGAAA
rnacentral:misc_RNA from 1 species